CAGCAGCCGCGGGAAUACGAGGGGGGCAAGCGUUGUUCGGAAUUAUUGGGCGUAAAGGGCGCGUAGGCGGUUUGACAAGUCUUGUGUGAAAUCUCUGGGCUCAACCCAGAGUCUGCACGGGAAACUGUCGGGCUAGAGGAUGGGAGAGGAGAGUGGAAUUCCACGUGUAGCGGUGAAGUGCGUAGAGAUGUGGAGGAACACCAGUGGCGAAGGCGACUCUCUGGUCUGUAACUGACGCUGAGGAGCGAAAGCGUGGGGAGCGAACAGGAUUAGAUACCCGUGUAGUCCCUGUCUCUUAUAC
rnacentral:rRNA from 1 species